UCUCUCUCUCUCUCUUUUAUUUUUCUAUUAUUUUUUCUCAUAAUUUUUGCUCUAUUUUUUCCUCUCCCUUUUCUCUCUGUCAGGUACCCACUUUUAUAGCCUUCAGCACCUCUCGAGUCCUGACCUUCCACGGUCUCUCAAGUCCUCUCAUCUUUCUCUUUUUUCCUCUUUUGAUUAAGAUAUCCAAAACCUCUCUAUGUCUCAGCACAUUUGAAUCAUGCCUCAGGCCGCUUCUUGAGCCCGC
rnacentral:lncRNA from 1 species